CUGAGAGUGAGAGAUCCCCCUCCACUGGGUACUGUAGACACGGAACAAGAUCCUCUGGAGGCAGCCAUUGAUGAUAUUGGUCAAUGGAAGGGCAACUCUUGAAACCAGCAUCCCGCGUGCAGGAAGACGGUCCUAUUGAUUUGUACACGCUUUUGUACGGGACGAAAAUGUAAUUACGAGUAAUUAUUGGACGGUACGGUAGGAAUAAGGAUCGGGCUAACUCCGUGCCAGCAGCCCGCGGUAAUACGAGGGAUCCGAGCGUUAUCCGGAAUUAUUGGGUUAAAAGGGUUUGUAGGCGGUUGAGUAAGUCAGUGGUGAAAUCUUAUAGCUUAACUAUAAAAUUGCCGUUGAUACUGCUUGACUUGAAUAGUAUGGAAGUAAUUAGAAUAUGUAGUGUAGCGGUGAAAUGCUUAGAUAUUACAUGGAAUACCAAUUGCGAAGGCAGAUUACUACGUACUUAUUGACGCUGAUGAACGAAAGCGUGGGUAGCGAACAGGAUUAGAUACCCUGGUAGUCCACGCCGUAAACGAUGGAUACUAGCUGUUCGGUUUUCGGACUGAGUGGCUAAGCGAAAGUGAUAAGUAUCCCACCUGGGGAGUACGUUCGCAAGAAUGAAACUCAAAGGAAUUGACGGGGGCCCGCACAAGCGGUGGAGCAUGUGGUUUAAUUCGAUGAUACGCGAGGAACCUUACCAAGGCUUAAAUGUAGAUUGACAGGUUUAGAGAUAGACUUUUCUUCGGACAAUUUACAAGGUGCUGCAUGGUUGUCGUCAGCUCGUGCCGUGAGGUGUCAGGUUAAGUCCUAUAACGAGCGCAACCCCUAUUGUUAGUUGCCAGCGAGUAGUGUCGGGAACUCUAACAAGACUGCCGGUGCAAACCGUGAGGAAGGUGGGGAUGACGUCAAAUCAUCACGGCCCUUACGUCUUGGGCUACACACGUGCUACAAUGGCCAGUACAGAAAGCAGCUACCAGGCAACUGGAUGCGAAU
rnacentral:rRNA from 1 species